rnacentral:rRNA from 1 species
AGAUACCCUAUUAUUUUUUAUGUAUGUUUAAUAAGCUAAAUUAGUAUUAGUUAUGUUCUUUAAAAUUUAAAAUUUUGGCGGUAUUUUAGUCUAUUCAGAGGAAUCUGUUCUGUAAUUGAUAGCCCACGAUUUAAUUUACUUUUUUUAUAAAUUUAUAUAUCGUCGUAGUUUGAAUUUUUUAAAAGAAUUUUAAUAUUCAUAUUUUUUAAGAAGAAUAAAAAUCAGAUCAAGGUAUAGUUGAUAAAAAAGAAGAAAUGGAUUACAAUAAAUUAAUUUUAGGAUUAUUUUUUUUAAAAAAAUAUGAAUUUGGAUUUGAAUGUAAAUAAAAUUAAAUAAUUUUAUUGAUUUAAGCUCUAAAAUAUGUACACAUGGCCCGAUCGCU